GUUAGAGAUAUUAAAAAAAGUUAGACAUGGUGGCGACUAGGGAGAGACUCGAGAGAUAUCUCUAGAGAGGGGGGAGAGGCGGUGGAAGCCAGGUGGCUGCACGUGUCGGUGGUCUAGGUGCGGGGGAAGGGAAGGGAUGGUUGAGAUUUGUCGUUGUCUCGUUGACGAGGGAGGGAAGGGGAUGGGGCCGGGCGCGCGUGGAGAGAAUUAUGGUUUGGUGAGAACGGGAGGGAGUUGGCAUUUGGUUGUAUGUGUGAUGAUGUGAUCUGUUUUAGGGAAAGUACUAGGGAUGGUCGGUGGAAGGUAAACAGCUAGCCUGGUUUUCCAGAACUGUCGCGGGCCAGGUUUUCCAUCAAUUCAAAUUUGUUUCAUUUGUAAAAAUGUUGUGGUUGGCUUCGCUGGGCAUAUUGGAAUCAAAUAAGCAUCCUUACAAGUUAUAUCUCUGAUCAGAUAUUAUUUUGUGCUGUAAUGAAUGAUGAAAUUGUACUAUUUCUACAUACCGA
rnacentral:lncRNA from 1 species